rnacentral:rRNA from 1 species
CCUACGGGAGGCAGCAGUGGGGAAUAUUGGACAAUGGGCGAAAGCCUGAUCCAGCCAUGCCGCGUGUGUGAAGAAGGCCUUCGGGUUGUAAAGCACUUUCAGUGGGGAAGAAAGCCUUGGGGCUAAUACCCUCGAGGAAGGACAUCACCCACAGAAGAAGCACCGGCUAACUCCGUGCCAGCAGCCGCGGUAAUACGGAGGGUGCGAGCGUUAAUCGGAAUUACUGGGCGUAAAGCGCGCGUAGGCGGUCUGAUAAGCCGGUUGUGAAAGCCCCGGGCUCAACCUGGGAACGGCAUCCGGAACUGUCAGGCUAGAGUGCAGGAGAGGAAGGUAGAAUUCCCGGUGUAGCGGUGAAAUGCGUAGAGAUCGGGAGGAAUACCAGUGGCGAAGGCGGCCUUCUGGACUGACACUGACGCUGAGGUGCGAAAGCGUGGGUAGCAAACAGGAUUAGAUACCCCGGUAG